AUCAUCUGAACGUGGCAGCAGAUUAUUAUUAUAUAGGUUAAAUGUUACAUCAGCCCAUGAUCGACCUACUUCUCCAGUUACAUCAGUCCAUGAUCGACCUACCUUUCUAGUAUUAUCUAUUAAUCGACUAUUCAGAACUGCUAGUAAGGUGAAUGCUCACAUCGAUUUGCUUUUGAUCUCCUUCAUCUUACUCCGGUUAACAGUUGAUCUAAAUCGAUGACGAUUAUUCAACAUGAGC
rnacentral:lncRNA from 1 species